GACGAACGCUGGCGGCGUGCUUAACACAUGCAAGUCGAACGGAAAGGCCCUGCUUUUGUGGGGUGCUCGAGUGGCGAACGGGUGAGUAACACGUGAGUAACCUGCACUUGACUUUGGGAUAACUUCAGGAAACUGGGGCUAAUACCGGAUAGGAGCUCCUGCUGCAUGGUGGGGGUUGGAAAGUGUCGGCGGUUGGGGAUGGACUCGCGGCUUAUCAGCUUGUUGGUGGGGUAGUGGCUUACCAAGGCUUUGACGGGUAGCCGGCCUGAGAGGGUGACCGGCCACAUUGGGACUGAGAUACGGCCCAGACUCCUACGGGAGGCAGCAGUGGGGAAUAUUGCACAAUGGGCGGAAGCGUGAUGCAGCAACGCCGCGUGCGGGAUAACGGCCUUCGGGUUGUAAACCGCUUUCGCCUGUGACGAAGCGUGAGUGACGGUAAUGGGUAAAGAAGCACCGGCUAACUACGUG
rnacentral:rRNA from 1 species